rnacentral:rRNA from 1 species
GAAUUUUGGACAAUGGGCGAAAGCCUGAUCCAGCAAUGCCGCGUGCAGGAUGAAGGCCUUCGUGUUGUACACUGCUUUUGUACGGAACGAAAAGCUCUGGGUUAAGACCCUGGAGUCCUGACGGUACCGUAAUAAUAAGCACCGGCUAACUCCGUGCCAGCAGCCGCGGUAGUACGUCGGGUGCAAGCGUUAAUCGGAAUUACUGGGGGGAAAGCAUGCGCAGGCGGUUGUGUAGGACAGAGGUGAAAUCCCCGGGCUGAACCUGGGAACUGCCUUUGUGACGUACCGGCUAGCGUACUUCCUUUUCGUUUUUCCUUCCUCCUCUCUCUCUCCAAUGCGUAUCUAUCCUGAGGCCCCCCGAUCACGAAGCCAACCCCCUGGGCCUGUAUUGACGCUCAUGCACGAAGGCGUGGGGAGCAAACA